ACGGGCGGGGGACGGGGACGACACACAGUCACUGUCCCCACCCUCCAGCUGGGAGCACCUGCUUUACCGUCUCUAUCCCCCCUUCCUGAGCCCCCGGUGUCCCCUUUUCCUGUCCUCGCUGUAGACUUCCCACUCGUGGAGGAGAAAGGGCGGGCAGCAGCAGCUGUCCUAGAUUUAUGAAUAUAAAGGCACAAGGCAACAUAAUGGUGCAGAGCCUAGUCUCUGAAGCUGGCAAUUUGAGUUUGAAUUCCCUUCUCUGCCUGUGUGAGCUGUGUGAGCUUGGGCCUCAUGCCCAGUGUGGAGUCCAAUGUG